UACGGAGGGUGCAAGCGUUAUCCGGAUUCACUGGGUUUAAAGGGUGCGUAGGCGGGCAGGUAAGUCAGUGGUGAAAUCUCCGAGCUUAACUCGGAAACUGCCAUUGAUACUGUUUGUCUUGAAUAUUGUGGAGGUAAGCGGAAUAUGUCAUGUAGCGGUGAAAUGCUUAGAUAUGACAUAGAACACCAAUUGCGAAGGCAGCUUACUACACAAUGAUUGACGCUGAGGCACGAAAGCGUGGGGAUCAAACAGG
rnacentral:rRNA from 1 species